rnacentral:lncRNA from 1 species
CGUUUGGCAAAACAAUUUAGCGGUCUUUAUGUUUUAGUUUUAGCACUUAAGGCUAGCUGGAAAGAAUUAAUGCUGUUUUUCUUCACGAUUUUACUAUUUGCACUUUUGUUUGCUAAUUGUAUAUUUUAUGCAGAAAUGCAGGAAACGACAACCUUUCCUAACUUGCUAUACGGUCUUUGGUGGGCUAUAAUUACCUUGACGACCGUUGGUUAUGGCGAUCAUGUGCCAAAGUCACCGAUUGGUCAGGUCAUAGGAUCAUUUUGCGCUAUAUGUGGAAUAAUUGUUUUAGCAAUGCCAGUUGCAAUGAUUGUUGCAAAUUUCAACGAGUAUUAUCAGAGAAAUAGAGAUCGUCAACAAUUUAUGAG